GUGUCAGCCGCCGCGGUAAUACCUGCAGCUCGAGUGGUGAUCGUUAUUAUUGGGCCUAAAACGUCCGUAGCCGGUCUUCUAAAUGCCUGGGUAAAUCGUAUGGCUUAACCAUACGAAUUCUGGGUAGACUGUUAGACUUGAGACCGGGAGAAGCUAGAGGUACUCCUGGGGUAGAGGUGAAAUUCUGUAAUCCUAGGGGGACGACCAGUGGCGAAGGCGUCUAGCUAGAACGGGUCUGACGGUGAGGGACGAAGCCCUGGGGCGCAAACGGGAUUAGAUACCCCCGUAGUCC
rnacentral:rRNA from 1 species